rnacentral:rRNA from 1 species
AACGAACGCUGGCGGCAGGCCUAACACAUGCAAGUCGAACGAAUCUUGAGGAGCUUGCUCCUCUUGGUUAGUGGCGGACGGGUGAGUAACGCGUGGGUAACCUGCCCUAUGCAGGGGGAUAACGUUUGGAAACGAACGCUAAUACCGCAUAACAAAGAAUCUUCGCAUGAAGAAUCUUCCAAAGAUUUACCGGCAUAGGAUGGACCCGCGUUGGAUUAGCUAGUUGGUGCGAUAACAGCCCACCAAGGCGACGGUCCAUAGCCGGCCUGAGAGGGUGAACGGCCACAUUGGGACUGAGACACGGCCCAAACUCCUACGGGAGGCAGCAGUGGGGAAUAUUGCACAAUGGGCGCAAGCCUGAUGCAGCGACGCCGCGUGAAGGAUGAAGGUCUUCGGAUUGUAAACUUCUAUCAGCAGGGAAGAAUAAAUGACGGUACCUGACUAAGAAGCACCGGCUAACUACGUGCCAGCCGCCGCAGUAAAAC